rnacentral:rRNA from 1 species
AGAGUUUGAUCCUGGCUCAGGACGAACGCUGGCGGCGUGCCUAAUACAUGCAAGUGGAACGCAUGAUUGAUACCGGAGCUUGCUCCACCAUUAAUCAUGAGUCGCGAACGGGUGAGUAACGCGUAGGUAACCUACCUCAUAGCGGGGGAUAACUAUUGGAAACGAUAGCUAAUACCGCAUAACAGUAUUUAUCACAUGGUAAAUGCUUGAAAGGAGCAAUUGCUUCACUAUGAGAUGGACCUGCGUUGUAUUAGCUAGUUGGUGGGGUAACGGCUCACCAAGGCAUCGAUACAUAGCCGACCUGAGAGGGUGAUCGGCCACACUGGGACUGAGACACGGCCCAGACUCCUACGGGAGGCAGCAGUAGGGAAUCUUCGGCAAUGGGGGGAACCCUGACCGAGCAACGCCGCGUGAGUGAAGAAGGUUUUCGGAUCGUAAAGCUCUGUUGUAAGAGAAGAACGUGUGUGAGAGUGGAAAGUUCACACAGUGACGGUAACUUACCAGAAAGGGACGGCUAACUACGUGCCAGCAGCCGCGGUAAUACGUAGGUCCCGAGCGUUGUCCGGAUUUAUUGGGCGUAAAGCGAGCGCAGGCGGUUGUAUAAGUCUGAAGUAAAAGGCAGUGGCUCAACCAUUGUGUGCUUUGGAAACUGUCCAACUUGAGUGCAGAAGGGGAGAGUGGAAUUCCAUGUGUAGCGGUGAAAUGCGUAGAUAUAUGGAGGAACACCGGUGGCGAAAGCGGCUCUCUGGUCUGUAACUGACACUGAGGCUCGAAAGCGUGGGGAGCAAACAGGAUUAGAUACCCUGGUAGUCCACGCCGUAAACGAUGAGUGCUAGGUGUUGGGUCCUUUCCGGGACUCAGUGCCGCAGCUAACGCAUUAAGCACUCCGCCUGGGGAGUACGGCCGCAAGGCUGAAACUCAAAGGAAUUGACGGGGGCCCGCACAAGCGGUGGAGCA